rnacentral:lncRNA from 1 species
GCCGUCGCCGCUGGCUCCGCCCACCGCGUGGUCCAAGGACCACCACCCGCCACCGCCGCGCGAGCGUACUAUUGCGGCCGCCCUCUGCUGCGCCUGAAGAGAGAGGCGACUCUACAAGCCUCACAGCAUGCACUGUUACUAAAAAGACGAUGCGUCCUCCUGGACCUGAGAUCUGUGUGAUCGUGGGAAAGCGACGAAAAACGUACGUAAUUUUUUUCUGAAGGCACCUUCGGGACACCUUACCCUUCCCUCAGGGGGGCCCAGCUUCGCGCGCGGUGCUGUGGGGGUUGUAGUUCCUCCGCCGGAGCGGGACCUCCGGUGCCCCGGGCCAGGGAUGUGAGAAAGAAGCGAGCCCUCGAGUUUCCUCGGGGCAUGUGGGAAGGUUUUUUUCAGGAUCCAGGCAGAACCUUACAGAGCUGGGAGUUUUUUAACUUUCCAUUCCUGGCAGUGACGCCAGGAGCUUUAAGUGAUGGAAAUAUGCGAGUCAAUCAGUGGAUGGUGAACAAAGGAACAGUAAAUGGAGUAACUUGGCUAGAAUAUGGCAGUAACUACAAGGCAUGUUCUGCUCUGGCACGAAGUCUCGCUCUGUCACCCAGGCUGGAGUGCAAUGGCACGAUCUUGGCUCACUGCAACCUCUGCCUCCCAGGUUCAAGCGAUUCUUCUGCCUCAGCCUCCUGAGUAGCUGGGAUUACAGACAACCCACCUGAGGCACCAGACACAUGAGUGAAGCCAUCUUGGACAUCCCAGUCACAGCCAAACUCACUCCUGAGUGCAUCUGCAUGAUGAACCCAGCAAUCCCCACCAUGGAGCAAAGGAUCCAUCCAGUCAACCCAAAGAAUCGUGAAAAAUAAUAAAUUG